AGAGUUUGAUCAUGGCUCAGGAUGAACGCUGGCGGCGUGCCUAACACAUGCAAGUCGAACGGGUGUGGUAUCAGGGAAAAGGGGUUUACAUCUUUGACCAGAUAACACACUAGUGGCGGACGGGUGAGUAACGCGUGGAUAACCUGCCUUAUACAGGGGGAUAACAGGGAGAAAUUCUUGCUAAUACCCCAUAGGUAUGUCUGACGCAUGUUGGACAUAUUAAAGCUUUGGCGGUAUAAGAUGGGUCCGCGUCUGAUUAGCUAGUUGGUGGGGUAAAGGCCCACCAAGGCGACGAUCAGUAGCCGGCUUGAGAGAGUGGACGGCCACAUUGGGACUGAGACACGGCCCAAACUCCUACGGGAGGCAGCAGUGGGGAAUAUUGCACAAUGGGGGAAACCCUGAUGCAGCGACGCCGCGUGAAGGAAGAAGGUCUUCGGAUCGUAAACUUCUAUCAGCAGGGAAGAAGGAAGUGACAGUACCUGAGUAAGAAGCCCCGGCUAACUACGUGCCAGCAGCCGCGGUAAUACGUAGGGGGCGAGCGUUAUCCGGAAUUACUGGGUGUAAAGGGUGCGUAGGCGGUAUGGCAAGUCAGAGUUGUGAAACCCCCUGGCUCAACCAGGGGCUUGCAAUUGAAACUGUCAUACUAGAGUGCAGGAGAGGAAAGCGGAAUUCCUAGUGUAGCGGUGAAAUGCGUAGAUAUUAGGAAGAACACCAGUGGCGAAGGCGGCUUUCUGGACUGUAACAGACGCUGAGGCACGAAAGCGUGGGGAGCGAACAGGAUUAGAUACCCUGGUAGUCCACGCCGUAAACGAUGAGUGCUAGGUGUUGGGGUCUAAUUAGAUCUCGGUGCUGAAGUUAACGCAUUAAGCACUCCACCUGGGGAAGUACGAU
rnacentral:rRNA from 1 species